GAUGGUGACAUGACUGAGCAACUAAACAACAACAGAGUGUGAGUGAUUGACUUGGUUCUGCCCCUUACUAGCUCUGCAUCAUUGAGACAUUUUUCUUCUCUAAGAAAAAGCAUUCCCCCGAGGCUGCGGGGCCGGGCCAGGAUGGCGGCAGCAGCGGCCGGGGCUGGAGCAAGAGUGGCCCAAGAGAAGCAGUUCCCGCCGGCGCUGCUGAGCUUCUUCAUCUACAACCCGCGCUUCGGGCCGCGCGAGGGAGAGGAGGAAAAUAAAAUUUUGCUUUAUUAUCCAAACGAAGUAGAAAAGAAUGAAAAGAUUAGAAACGUUGGAUUAUGUGAAGCUAUUGUACAGUUUGCAAGGACCUUUAGUCCAUCAAAACCUGCAAAAUCUUUACAUACACAGAAGAACAGACAGUUCUUCAACGAACCAGAAGAAAAUUUCUGUAUGGUCAUGGUUGUUCGGAAUCCUAUCAUUGAAAAGCAGAGUAAAGAUGGAAAACCAGUCGUUGAAUACCUAGAGGAGUUGCUGGACAAGGUUUAUAGUUCGGUGCUCCAGCAGUGCUACAGCAUGUACAAGCUUUUUAAUAGUACAUUUCUGAGAGCCAUGGAAGAUGGAGGUGUCAAGCUCCUAAAAGAAAGAUUAGAGAAAUUCUUCCAUCGAUAUUUGCAAACGUUACAUUUGCAGUCCUGUGAUCUACUCGACAUAUUUAGUGGGAUCAGCUUCUUCCCAUUGGAUAAAAUGACUCAUUUGAAAAUCCAGUCCUUUAUUAACAGAGUGGAAGAAAGCCUGAGUACAGUCAAGUACACUGCCUUUCUCUAUAAUGAUCAACUCAUCUGGAGUGGAUUAGAACAAGACGACAUGAGAAUUUUAUACAAAUACCUCACCACAGCUCUGUUUCCAAGGCAUAUCGAACCUGAGUUGGCGGGAAGGGAUUCUCCAAUAAGGGCAGAAAUGCCAGGAAACCUCCAACACUAUGGAAGAUUUCUCACUGGCCCCUUGAAUCUUAAUGAUCCAGAAGCAACAUGCAGAUUCCCCAAAAUUUUUGUAAAUACAGACGACACUUAUGAAGCGCUGCACUUAAUUGUCUAUAAGGCGAUGAACGCAGCUGUUUGCUUUAUGAUUGAUGCCUCCAUUCAGCCCACACUGGACUUCUGCCGAAGACUGGACAGCGUUGUGGGGCCCCAGCUCACAGUGCUGGCAUCUGACAUCUGUGAGCAAUUUAACAUCAACAAGAGAAUAUCUGGGUCUGAAAAAGAAUCCCAGUUUUAGUUUA